rnacentral:lncRNA from 1 species
UAGCAUGGAAUAAUUGCUUGAUUUCAUCAAAAGUGGUCACUCGGUCGAAGAGCGGUUCAUUUUGUUUCAGUAGAGCGAAGAAGAGCAACGUGUGCAAGUCGUGUCACUUAGCUGACGAUAAAGAAAUUGAGAAUAACUUAGAAGUAUAGAGGCUUAAGUGGUUAUUAGCGUGAUCUUUGAUCUUAAUUCGUUUUAUCGUAGUAACACACCUCGCACGAAGCUUUCAAAGCAGUUUACUACCGUCUCUCUAACAGAAACUGUCACAUUCUUUUGAGCAAUAGUCCUAACAGAAAAGAACAACGAUCGACUAUAUUAUGGCUCGAUACCUCCUCUUAUUCGCUUUUCUGUUUGUCUGCCUAGUUUAUGUGUUACAGGCUACUCCAAUACCCGAAGAUACACCACAAUCAAAUCCACAAACUCAAAGUGCUCUUGACGAUCUAACGAACAAAGCGAAGAAGAUAUUCGAUGAUGCAAAAGGAGCAUUUGAAAAUGCGGAUUUUAAUGGCGCCUUGGAGAAAGCGAGAUCAGCUAUUGGACAGGCUACUGACAAUUUUCGAAAAGAGAUAGAGAAACUUACAAAUAAUAAGCGUAAAUAAUCGUUCGAUCAAUUGUUCAUAACUAAAGCUUCUCUACUAUGGAUUUAUAAAUCAGUGCAAUUACCUUUUUAAUAAAAAGGUCCAACAAUUU